rnacentral:rRNA from 1 species
GGACUACCGGGGUAUCUAAUCCUGUUUGCUCCCCACGCUUUCGUGUCUCAGCGUCAGUACUCGUCCAGUUGGCCGCCUUCGCCACCGGUGUUCCUCUCGAUAUCUACGAAUUUCACCUCUACACCGAGAAUUCCGCCAACCUCUCCGGUACUCGAGCCAUGCAGUAUCGGGUGCACUUCCCGGGUUGAGCCCGGGGCUUUCACAUCCGACUUUCACGGCAGCCUACACACGCUUUACGCCCAGUAAUUCCGAACAACGUUUGCACCCUCUGUCUUACCGCGGCGGCUGGCAC